CCUACGGGAGGCAGCAGUGGGGAAUUUUGGACAAUGGGCGCAAGCCUGAUCCAGCCAUGCCGCGUGCAGGAUGAAGGCCUUCGGGUUGUAAACUGCUUUUGUACGGAACGCGGUACCGUAAGAAUAAGCACCGGCUAACUACGUGCCAGCAGCCGCGGUAAUACGUAGGGUGCAAGCGUUAAUCGGAAUUACUGGGCGUAAAGCGUGCGCAGGCGGUAAUGUAAGACAGAUGUGAAAUCCCCGGGCUCAACCUGGGAACUGCAUUUGUGACUGCAUUGCUGGAGUGCGGCAGAGGGGGAUGGAAUUCCGCGUGUAGCAGUGAAAUGCGUAGAUAUGCGGAGGAACACCGAUGGCGAAGGCAAUCCCCUGGGCCUGACUGACGCUCAUGCACGAAAGCGUGGGGAGCAAACAGGAUUAGAUACCCUUGUAGUC
rnacentral:rRNA from 1 species